rnacentral:lncRNA from 1 species
GCAUUCAGCCUACACACACUAACAAUCCUGCUCACACGCACACCAACACACUUAAACCGCAACAUCUCCGACUGUCCUCUCUGUCUCCCAACACACCAGGAAAUGUUUUUCUUCUCCGAGGCAGCCUAAGUGGAGUGGUCCACUGAAGCCAACCCUCUGUAAUUAACUGUCACAGUGCCUCAUAACCAACAAAUGGACUUUGUGUCAAGGAGAGCCCAUUAAUUUACUGGCCUGCACUCAUCGAUUCAGAGCCUAUUAUCUCCAUUACAGCAGGCUUUCAUGUCUCGGCAUCCUGUCCUGGUAACCCUCGAUUUUUCCGUCUCAAUUUGCACAGAUUCCCUGGAACUUGCUUGAGGGGCUCAUGGACAAUGUGUCUUCUCAGACACACGCCAUGGAUCAAACACAUAAAGAGAUUCUACACUGCUGGUCCUACACUCUGAAGAGGGAUCGCAUCUCUGCUCCCCUCGCUCCCUCGCUCCCUCCACCUCUGUCUCUCUCCACUCCUCACCUUCCCCCUGUUUCUUCACUCCUCACCUUCUACAACUUUUUGCCCUAUCUGCGGGUUCAUCAGAGGAUAGAGGAAAGACAGGAGUAUGGGUGGAAGUCAGAGAGACCAGACGGGGGAGAGAAAGAAUCCUGUGAGAGUAAGGGAGCGAAGGGCCAAAGGGACACUGACAAGGCACCGUGUUCCUGAACUCUGCUUACUCUCAAUUCUGAAAAUGUUCAUUCAUCUGCCUCCAGAAAGUCAUUCAUUCAAUCACCACGAACCUGUGUUAUCUUAAAUUGAACUGGGGAUGCAUACGAGCAGUGAUAAUGGAAUUGUUUCUCCUGUGAUUUGCUGCGUUGUGUUUGGACUAUAUUGUCAUCGCAGUGCGUGAUGACAACCCCAAGGCGCCCUUACAUUGAACACUGUGAGACCAUAGCAGUAGCCAUUAUACAAUUUUCCCAUCAUGCAGACUUUGAGUGUUUUUAUUGUUCCCAGCCUCUCGGUUUGCUUGCAAUAUUUCUGUGUUAUCCAUCACUCUUUUCCUCCCAUCACCACAUCCUCAUUUACAGUACCUGCAUUGCAGCAACUAUCAGUAAUAUUUAGGGAUCUAUUUUACAAGAACGACCAUAAAGACCAGCGGCAGAGUGUAUACAAAAACACCUCCAAUCCCCUCCUAACCUUUACAACACUUCAAUAGCCGGUGGUGGAAACUAAUAAAGAGUAUUCACUCAAUAAUGAUGAUCAUAAUUUAAUAAAAAGCCUUUAGGAUUAAACCGGAGGCCCUGCGAUAUCUUACAAAAAAGAGCCUUUGGUCACAUUUCAUAUAUAUCUAUGAGUUGUUAGCAGUUAAUCCAAUGAGAC